UUUUUUUACUUACUAUUUUUUUCAUCACAAAUUAAAAGGAUAUUAGCAAAUCCUUGAUACCCUCAGAUAACGUCCCUCCAAAAGUCCCAACUAUUUAUUUUAUAAGUGAAAUAAAAACUACAAUAUAAAAAUUUUAUAUUGUAGGAAUAUAAAGACUAUUUAUUUUAUAAGUGAAAUGAUCUUUUUGCCAUCACAAAUACAUCCCUCCAAAAGUCCCAACUAUUAAUUAAAGAGGAAUAAAAAAAAUCAAUUAUCUUAUUAACUAACUAAGGUUAAGUAUAUUAACUAUGGUUAACUGAAUUUUUUAACGGGUCCUAACGGCGGGACAUAUUUGAAAAUAUUACGACUAUUGUUAUUUGUAAUAACAAUAUAUAAAAGUUGAACUUUAUUAUAGAAAUAUUUUUGCAAUUCACUAUAUUUGGAGGG
rnacentral:lncRNA from 1 species